UCGGUGGCCUCGAGUGAAGAGGAAUCAGGAGUGGAUAUAGGUCAUGACAACCGAACCACUAUAAAACUCGAUUUGCAUUUACUUUAAGCUCUUUACUUUCAUUGCAAACUGCUUUACUUACUUAUUCACUACGCUUCUGUACACUUUUAAGUUAACAUCUUUCCGAUAUAGUUUUUUAUCAAACAAAAGAUUUUUAAAUCGACAUUUUUAACGAAAGCACUAACAUAACAGAAUG
rnacentral:lncRNA from 1 species